rnacentral:rRNA from 1 species
GUCCACGCCGUAAACGAUGGAUACUAGCUGUUCGGAGCAAUCUGAGUGGCUAAGCGAAAGUGAUAAGUAUCCCACCUGGGGAGUACGUUCGCAAGAAUGAAACUCAAAGGAAUUGACGGGGGCCCGCACAAGCGGUGGAGCAUGUGGUUUAAUUCGAUGAUACGCGAGGAACCUUACCAAGGCUUAAAUGGGAAACGACAGGUUUGGAAACAGACUUUUCUUCGGACGUUUUUCAAGGUGCUGCAUGGUUGUCGU